ensembl:lncRNA
AAGACAUUGUAUGUUUUGGCACCAUUAUACAGUAAGAAGAGAUAUAAAAGACUAACCUUUUAGUCUUGCUGUUUGAAUUGACUUCCAAGGUUUGAGCUGUUCACUGUUUUAAUGAAGACAAAAAAAUACAAAAAUGAACAGCAUGUUGAGAUUAUGCCAAAGAGAGAGACAGGUAUCGUAUGCCAGAGACACGGGUAUCGUAUGCCAGAGACACAGGUAUCGUAUGCCAGAGUUGGGGCCAUUCCCAUUUAAAUUCAGUCAAUUCUGAAAAUAAACUAAAAUUCCAAAUCCAAAAUGUUCUCCUAGAGAAGCAUUGAGAAAAAUGUAAUUCCAUAAUCGACUAAAUUAAAAAGGAAUUGACCCCAACCCUGGUUCAUAACCAGCUUUGUCUUGAACAUCAUAAUAGCCCAUGAGACAAAUAAGAGCUCUUAUGGGAGCAUCAGUUAAAACACUUACAGUAGGCCUUUGCCCUGAAGUGCAUGAAUAAAAUAUUCAGACAACAGUUAAUGUCUCAGUUGAUUUGAAGAGACACAAAAACAAUAUGUACCUAGCUUCACUUAAUGCCCUCAGCAGUAGUAGUGAGCCAAGGAGGAAUUGACUUGAGAGGGUCUCUCCUUAAGCUAAUAUGAAUGAGUUUCAAAUGUGUGCUUUACUGUAUGCACAUCAUAUGGUUCUGUUGGACUGUUGGAUAAACAAACCAGUUGAAUUGGAUUAGACCUUUAAGCUGUGAAUCCCAGCAUGUCAGAGUCACUCAAAAUAAAUUAAGAGAUAAAAUAUCUCUCACUGGUUUGAUUCACAAGUCAAGUGUGCCUUCUGAAUGAGGAAUGGAGGGGUGUAUGUGUAGAAUAUGUGUAGUGGUCUCUAUUUGUCUCUUUUGUGUCUUUACUUGAGAUAACCAGCACUGGGCUGACCGCUUCAGUCAACACUAGGGGGAAAUUGCAUUGUACGCUUGAUCAGCUUUUACCUGGCAAUAAGCUGGUAGUGCAAUCCUAUGUUUUUUGAAGUGUAGAUGUAUUCUUUUAUAGGCAUUGAGUGGCUUUGUGGCUUCCUGCUGCUUGUCUGCCUUGUGGCAUCAUUGUACGGUCCUCUUUACACAACAAAAUAAAUGUGUUUGCAA